GAGAGAGAGAGAGGGAGGUUUGGGGAUUCCUUGGAGGGGUUGGGACUCUCUCUCUCUCUCUUUUCUCUCCAUUGCUUUGUUCUUGGGUGGGAGGAAGGAAUCAGUGGGAGGGAAGAUCCAGCUUAUUGAUAUAAUAUCGUCUCUUUCCCUUUUUUCCAUCUCAUGUGGUCAUGCAGAGAAGAGAUGGCUGCACAUUAAUUCAGCAGCUGCAGGGAUCCCUUGCCAGCCGCUGUUUGCAUUUCUGACACCACUUCUGCUUGGUGGCUGUGGUGGACCUUUGGCUUUGAGUCAUUGUCCUCUUUUUUAGCAGCCAUAGAAAUUGCCUCUUCUUCUUCUUUCUGUCCUCCCCUUUCUGCUUCUGCCAUUUUCGCGGUUGAUUCCUUUUUCCUUAAUUUGUGUUGAUUUUGAGUGUUCAGGAAAAGGAGAAGCUUCCGCUCCUACUUCCCCUUGUCUUAAUCAUCGCCCUUCAAUCUGUUUUCUCUUUUGACACCCUGAAGCCGAAAAAGUCAGGCUCCGUCUUUCCUAUUCAUCUGAUUCAAUCAUUUUUCAUAUACAUAUAUGUACGUUUUCCUUUCGAGUCGAAUAUUCCCUUGGUGGUAUUGGUGAUGAUGGUGGUCGUGAUUUGAGCGCCUACCUCCUUCCUAUAGAUCGCGGGAGCACAGCAUUAUCUUAGAAAGAAGGUGACCGGGAAGCAGAGGAAUUCCGUUGAACUCAAACCGCUGGCGGUAACGCAAGAAAGGGAUAAAAGGUUGUAUUUUUUGUGUCGGCGGGUUAGAGGAGAAACCCGUUAGAUCAAUCACGAGUAGAAGAACUUGUGACUCAUUCUUGUCCUUCUCCUAAAUCAAUCUCGAGGUAGCCUUGGUGGUGGUACUGGCGGCGGUGGUUCCGAAGGAAUGGGGAGCAUCGGCAAUGGCGACAUGGGGGCCGUGGCUCCACCCCCGCAGCAGCGGCAGCAGCAAACUCGCCGGUUACCGGAUUUCUUGCUGACCGUGAACCUCAAGUAUGUGAAGUUGGGGUAUCAUUAUCUCGUCACUCACCUUUUGACCCUUCUGCUCAUCCCGAUUAUGGUGGUCAUCGUCCUCGAAGUCUCCCAGAUGAACCCCGAAGACGCUCGGCAACUGUGGGAGCACCUUCAAUUCAAUCUGGUCAGCGUGCUCGCCUGCUGCGCCUUCCUCGUCUUCGGUUGCACCCUGUACAUCAUGACCCGCCCCCGUCCUGUGUACCUUGUCGACCACGCAUGCUAUACCCCUCCCUCUCACCUGAAAGUGACCUUCCCCCGAUUCAUGGAGCACUCCCGCCUCUCCGGCAACUUUGACGAGUCGGCCCUUGAAUUCCAGGGAAAGAUCCUCGAGCGGUCGGGCCUCGGCGAGGAAACAUACCUCCCGGAGGCCCUGCAUUUGCUCCCUGCCCGCCCCUCCAUGGCGGCAGCUCGGGAGGAGGCAGAGCAGGUCAUGUUCGGCGCCCUUGAGAAGCUCUUCUCCAACACUUCUCUUAAGCCGAAGGAUAUUGGCAUCCUGGUGGUGAAUUGCAGUCUGUUCAAUCCGACGCCUUCGCUUUCUGCCAUGAUCAUCAACAAGUAUAAGCUCAGGGGAAACAUCAAAAGCUUCAAUCUUGGCGGGAUGGGCUGCAGUGCUGGUGUCAUCGCCCUUGACCUCGCCAAGGACCUUCUGCAAGUUCACCGGAACACCUACGCGGUCGUGGUAAGCAUGGAGAACAUAACUCAGAAUUGGUACUUCGGUAACAGGAAGUCCAUGCUCAUCCCUAAUUGCCUCUUCCGCGUUGGUGGCGCUGCCAUUCUGCUCUCGAACCGCUCCUCCGACCGGAGGCGGUCCAAGUACCGGCUAGUUCAUGUUGUCAGGACUCACCGGGGUUCGGAUGACAAUGCAUUCCGGUGCGUCUACCAGGAACAAGAUGACACAGGGAGGGUUGGUGUUUCGUUGUCGAAGGAUCUCAUGGCCAUAGCAGGAGGAGCACUCAAGACCAACAUCACCACUCUCGGCCCCCUCGUCCUCCCCUUCAGCGAGCAACUGCUUUUCUUUGCGACCCUUGUUGCCAACAAGAUUUUCAAUGCUAAGGUGAAGCCAUACAUUCCAGAUUUCAAGCUUGCUUUCGAACAUUUCUGUAUUCAUGCUGGUGGGAGGGCUGUGAUUGAUGAGCUAGAGAAGAACCUCCAACUGCUUCCCAUCCAUGUCGAGGCAUCAAGGAUGACUCUGCACAGAUGGGGGAACACUUCCUCGAGCUCAAUUUGGUAUGAACUGUCUUAUAUUGAGGCCAAGGGUCGGAUGCGGAAGGGCCACCGUCUUUGGCAGAUCGCCUUUGGCAGCGGCUUCAAGUGCAACAGUGCUGUUUGGCAGGCAUUGCGGACGGUGAAGCCAUCUCCAGGGAAUCCAUGGGAGGAUUGCAUUCAUAAGUAUCCGAUCUAAGCCAACUGUGGUGGCUUCAUUUAUAUGAGAAAUGCAGAUUAUGGUGCUUCUUCUUCUUCCUCCUCUUCCUGUUUGCAGAGGAAGAUUGGAUUCUAUUUAGAUGGUUUAUUAGCUUAGUUGGACCAGUGGGCAGUUUGGCUUCAUUCACCCUUCCAGGAUUGGGGUGUGGACAGCCGUCUUCCCAUGCAUUUUGAUGCGAAGUUGUUUAACAACUCCAAGAGGAAAAAUCAUACACGUUAGCUUUUUGUACUCUGUAUGUGUGAUUUCAAUAGGAAGAAGCUUCGGUAAGGCAAUCUGGAUUUGGCUUUUAAAGUGUGAAACAGAGAUGCAGGACAAGGUGGAAUGCUCAUGGAUACCAUGGGACUGACAAGGGCCUGAAAGUUUUGUGUGGAGGCAGAAAGCUGAAAGCGAGUGGACAUAUGUCAACCUACAUUAAGUCAUGUACUAUAUUUAAGCAAUUAGGUUGGGCAAAGACCCUUUCGUUCUCAAAAUUGGAAGAGAGUGACUGCUGAUAAUAGAAGAGUUGCACUGAGCCACGCAACCUUUGCUGCUUUGCUUUUUAAGCACGGGAGCUGUACAGGUUUAUCUCGUGAGGCCUAGGAACAAGUCAAUGAACCAAAUUGCCGACAAAGAAUUGACUCCUGCCCAUAUCAUCAUUUAUGGUCCACCAAUUCGUUUGACCGAGUUAUGCUGUAGUCAAAGGCAGUCGGUUCAUUAGGAAUAUGAUUUUCCACCGAUGUUCUUUUGGCCAUGUCGAGUGAAAUAGAAGAUAAAUACUCGAGUUUCAGCACUUGUGAACAUGUUCAUGAAGCGUACCCCUAAUUGUUUUGCAGUAGAAGCCGCAUUAUGGGUUGGCUAAGUUGAUUUCUUUUUGGUCCCGAUUGGUCAUACAAAAAAUGCGAAUGAAGUUAUUUACUGUAUUAUGCAAAUUACAAGUGAAAUUUCUGUAAUAUAAAUAAAAUGAGGGGCAGAUUCGAUGAAAAAUUUCU